rnacentral:rRNA from 1 species
AUUGAACGCUGGCGGCAUGCCUUACACAUGCAAGUCGAACGGCAGCACGGGGCAACCUGGCGGCGAGUGGCGAACGGGCGAGUAAUGCAUCGGAACGUACCUUUCAGUGGGGGAUAACGUAGCGAAAGUUACGCUAAUACCGCAUAUUCUGUGCGCAGGAAAGCAGGGGACCGCAAGACCUUGCGCUGAUUGAGCGGCCGAUGUCAGAUUAGCUAGUUGGUGAGGUAAAGGCUCACCAAGGCGACGAUCUGUAGCGGGUCUGAGAGGAUGAUCCGCCACACUGGAACUGAGACACGGUCCAGACUCCUACGGGAGGCAGCAGUGGGGAAUUUUGGACAAUGGGGGCAACCCUGAUCCAGCCAUGCCGCGUGAGUGAAGAAGGCCUUCGGGUUGUAAAGCUCUUUCGGCCGGGAAGAAAUCGCAUGGGUUAAUACCCUGUGCGGAUGACGGUACCGGCAUAAGAAGCACCGGCUAACUACGUGCCAGCCGCCGCCGUAA